rnacentral:rRNA from 1 species
UACAGAGGGGUGCAAGCGUUGUUCGGAAUUAUUGGGGCGUAAAGCGCGUGUAGGCGGCUUUGCAAGUCGGGUGUGAAAGCCCUCAGCUCAACUGAGGAAGUGCGCCCGAAACUGCAGAGCUUGAGUGCCGGAGAGGGUGGGCGGAAUUCCCCAAGUAGAGGUGAAAUUUCGUAGAUAUGGGGGAGGACACCGAUGGCGAAGGGCAGCUCUCUGGGGACGGGUACUGACGCUGAGACGCGAAAGCGUGGGGAGCGAACAGG